AGUGGACUUAAAUGAUGGCUACUGUCACUUCAUCCCAUGUCUCCCUAGCUGUCCCCCUGCCUCCUAGUAGGUGGCUGAGUGUCCCCACUGAGAAUUCAGGGCCAGGAGCUGGGGGAGGCGCUCUAGGUAAGUGCCUUCUCAAUUUCGUUCCACUGGGUUUGUAUUCUGUCCCCAUCCCGUGGGGCCAGGGUGGCAGGCUCCAUCCUCCCACAUAGACACCCCUGACCCCGCGCUGAGUCGCGGCUGGGGAAGUCAAGAUGCUCUGCUUCAGAUGUCAGGCGUUCACUUCUGGGACUUCCUGGGGUUUAAUAAGCCAGGCACUUCUCAGAAGGGAUGUAGAUAGCCACCACUUGAUGACAGAGCUUUUUCCUUUUCUCUUUCUUUGUUGGUUUCCAUCCUGUUAACAUGGCCUAGGGGUGAAAACGAUACAGUUUGGGGAUAGAAAGUCAUACUUCACUGAGAAGGGCAUUUCAGCUUUCUCCCCUGCACCUCCGCUUCUGUACCCAGGGAACACGGAAAGGAAAGCGAGGAGCCGGAGACAGAGACCAGGCAGAGAUCACACGAGAGUUUAUUUGUCAGCUCUCCCGCUCCCUUGCUUUCCUUUCAUUGGAACCGAAACCCAGGAUCAGGUUCCCUGGUGUGCCUGCUCCCCUCUUUGAGGGUCACUGGGCAUCCCCUGGCCCUGAUCCGAAUUCCAUUGUGGGACCAGGCCCUCCAUUCUGCCGAACACCCUCUCUGCACCCACCACAGGACAUUCCAGCUAAGACGCCUGUCUCUGGACGACCUAAACGACCUGGGAAGUGACCGUUGAUUGUCUGGCACACCCCAGGGUUACCGUGUGGUUGGGGACAUCCCCAGCCACAGUUUCACAGCUAUGGCUGGUCCCUACUGUCAACUGGGUCUGUAGGUGGUCUUUUAUUCGGGUACUGGGUUUUGAGAAAAACCAUUGACGGUGAUUGGGAGUUGUUCCUGGUGAGACCUCUCGGCCUUGGGUUAAUCCCUACUGCUUCUGCCCCCAUGUCGUCCCAGCCGGGCACUCAAGUGUGCCUCUAUAGGUUUUGCCCCCAGCAGUGGUAAUGACCCCCUGACAUAACCGUCCUCUUGACUGGGUGAUACUAGAAAUUGGGAGAUGCCCCACCUCUAAACUCUCCUCCUGUAUCUCACCAUGGGUGACUCCUCAUCCAUUCCCUCCCAUAGUCCUCUAGGCUGCCUCCUGGCUAACUAGGGUCUCUCUCUCCCACCCCAGACCUACCCCCCCAAAAAAAAAAAAAAAAACUUAUCCAUUUGUGCAAUCAGACCUGGGCUCAAUAUCCUUUGGACUCUAAAUGGCUGCUUAACGGCACCCCAGAUCCCAAUAUUAUCAGGGAUCUUUUCAACUAUUGUGAGCUUUUGGGAAAAUGGAAAGAGAUAUCAUAUGUCCAGGCCUUCUUCUCACUAUGUUCUAAGCUCUCUCUGUAACUCUUGCUCGCCCACACAAGUCCUCUCAGCUCUUGCCUCCCCUAUGCUUGCUUCCAAAAGGACAGAAGAUCCUACCCAGGACUUCCCCUCCUUCAACCCAGUGGAUGAGCCCCCACCAUAUCACAAUUCUUUUUCUGAUGAAGCCACCACAGCAACUGUCCCCUGGGCUCCUCCACCCUUCUCUCCUCCUGCCACACACUCAUGGGCUGCCACUGCCCAACCCACAUCUCUGUCUUCUACGUGAGGGGGGCUGGCGUAGAUGGUGUAGUCUGGGUUCAUGUGCCUUUGUCUUUGUCAGAUCCUCACAGAUAGAAAAGCGGCUUGGGCCCUAUACUUCAAGCCCCACCACAUAUAUCAAAGAGUUUCAGUAUCUGACCCAAUCACAUGACUUGACCUUCCAUGAGGUCCAUGUGAUCUUGUCUAACACCCUCCUGCCUGAGGAGCACAGGCGAGUUUGGGAGCAAGCUAGAGAUUGUGCUGAUGAGGUACAUCAGACCUCCCCUGCCCAUCCUAUUGGCACUGAAGCAGCCCCUGAUCGGGAGCCCAACUGGGAUUAUAAUUCGCUUGGAGGAGUAACUAGUAGAAAGAAAUUCAUUACUUGCCUCAUGGCAGGACUUAGAAAGGCAGCCCAUAAGGCUAUCAAUUAUGAAAAACUCCAGGAAAUCAUCCAAGAUAAGAAUGAAAACCCUUCAACAUUUUUAGACCGCCUGACCAAGGCUUUAGGACAAUAUACUGGACCCCGAGACUCCAGAUGGGAGACAACGGCUAAUGACAUACCUUUUCUCCCAGAGUUUCCCUGACAUUAAGGCCAAACUAAGGUGCCUCAAGAGGGGUCCCUAACUCCCUAAGCUGAGGUUCUGGGAGUGGCCUUUAAGGUGUAUAACGGGAGAGACAAGAAGAUCUGGAAGCAGAAAUAUCAGAUGCUGGCUCAAGCCGUCUGUCUAGCCUCAGCAUCUGUCCCUGGUUCCACUGCCCCACGGUAGGGUCACUCAGGACUGCCCGGACCCUGUUUUAAAUGUGGUCAGAUGAGUCACUAAGCUUGGACAUGUCCCAAGCCUUGAAAGCCUCCGGGCCCUUGUUCUGAAAGCCAUCAGGAGGGACACUGGGCCAUCGACUGUCCCUGGUCCCUUAGCAGCCCCCAGCCAUCCAGCCCUUCUGGUUCCCCUUUCCGACUCUUAGGACUGACCGCUGAGGACUAAGGAGGCCCGGGUCCCCACCACCCGACCACUACCAUCACUCUGCCGGAAACCAGGAAACUCUGUGUAUUUCAGGUGGGCCUGUCUCCUCCCUCCUAGACACCGGGCUACAUAUUCAGCCCUCAAGGAGUUCUGGGGACCUACUGCCAACCCUUACAGACACCUAGCCUUGUUUGCACUUUUGGAUCUCUAAUUUUAACCCACUCCUUUUUGGUCAUUCCACAGUGUCCUGUUCCCCUUACGGGAAGGGACAUCCUCACAAAGUUGGGGGCUGUGCUCUCCUUCUCCCCUCACAUUCGCUUCCAUCCAGACCCGCCUGAUGCUCCUCUGAUCCUCACCCUGACCUUAGGACCAUCCCCUAUUCCGUCUGCCAGCGCCUCCCAUUUCCCCUUCCAAGGUGGACCCUACUGUCUGGGAUGUUCCAAGUCCUUCUAUCACCUCACACCAUGAGCCCAUUCACUCCAUUUCAGAACCCCCUCCAUUUUCUGCCCAGUCACAACACCGGCUCUACCUCCUUGGUGCUGCUGUCCCUCUCCUUUUGCAGAGCAGCCUCGUCAGGCCCCUGACAAUAAACCUGUUUCUGACCCCAGGUGUGUGUGUGUGUGAUUGGUCCUGCGCCACUUUUCUCCCAUUGGUGCCAGUGACUCGAUCAUGUUCUCCUAUCAGCUUUGCUCUCCCCUCCAGGGAUGUGAGCUGCUUUGGGAUCCUGAAGGCCCAGGACAAUGACCACACACCUUCUUCCAUUCACCUAGCACUCUUCUUCUUCAUCCACACUCUGGCCUCAUUUGGGUAAGUGACUUCGCCCUUCCCCUCUCCUCCUCCUCACCAGUCUAUCCCUAGAGACAAGCCUCCUCUCUAGAACUUAGAUCUUGGCCCAGCACCAAGAUUUUCGCCCAUCCCUCCCUCCUGGUGAGUUUACUCCACUUGCCAUGGGGAACUCCCAAUGCCCUUCCCUUGGUGAGUUCACUCUCGGGUCUUGGUUCUCAGCUCCUCAGCAGAGCUCAUGAAAGCCCUGGCCAGGCAACCAAGACUCUCUACAGGCAAAGCCCAGGACUAGGGAAGUAGCAGGUGAUUCCCUUCUCUCAGUCCCGACUCCAACCCGCCUUGGGGAACGCCCAAAUCCCUUCUGACUCACCUCUCAGCUGCUUCCUCACCCCCUUAGCCCCACUCUGUUUGGCUCCUGAUCUAAAGGCCCAUCGACCAAUUCAACCUUCCAAUCUUCAUAACUUUUGCAAGCACUCAGGAAAAUGGAAGGAAAUCCCUAUGUGUACUACUUGCCACUAAAGCUCUGGAUUCCUCCAGAGACCCUACUUCUAGACAAACAAGGGACCCAGAACCCUCCUACGUUGUAAAGCCCUGGGCAGCAAUCUCCCUGGCCAAGGCCACACUGAAGCUGACAUUGAAAUACAAAGGACAGACUCAGCAGGCUUGAUAAGAGGCCUAAGGGGAAAAAAGUGUCAAUUUAACUUUUCUCUGGCUACAACUGGCAGAAGAAUGGCUUCUUCUUCCUCUCUCUAUCUCCCUGAUCUCACACUCCCAUUUCACCUUUACAUGGCUAAAAAGCAGGGAUUUGCUCUAGGGGUCCUUGGACACAUGCUGGGGCCAACCUUUGCCCGUGUGGCUUAUCUACCAAAGGUCUUGAGCCUACUCUUCGGGGAUGGGCCCCUUGCUUCUCUACUC
rnacentral:lncRNA from 1 species